AUGGAAAAGAUCCAGAAAGUAUCAAUCUUAGUCCUCGCCCUUCACCUAGCAUGGGUGAGUGGUCAGCAGAGGGGAAAACCUGACCAGCAGCAGGUGAGACAAAGUCCCCAAUCUCUGACAGUCUGGGAAGGAGAGACCUCAGUUCUGAACUGCACUUAUGAAAACAGCGCAUUUGACUACUUCCCAUGGUACCGGCAGUUCCCUGGUGAAGGCCUUGAAUUCCUGAUAGCCAUAAAUUCAGUGUCAAAUAAAAAGGAAGGUGGACGAUUCACAGUCUUCUUCAGGAAAAGUGAUAAACAGCUCUUCUUGCACAUCACAGAUUCUCAGCCUGAAGACUCAGCCACCUACUUCUGUGCAGCAAAUACACACUUCACUACGCUGACCUUUGGGUCAGGGACCAGCCUGGCUGUGCGCCCAUACAUCCAGGACCCCAAACCAGCUGUGUACCAGCUAAGAGAUGCUCAGGCCAAGAACAGCACCAUCUGCCUGUUCACCGACUUCGGUUCCCACGUCAACAAGUCAGAGGACGUGCCACCUGAUGUGUUUGUCUCCAACAACAAUGUGCUGGACAUGCGGUCUAUGGAUUCCAAGAGCAAUGGGGCCAUUGCCUGGAGUGACCACAGUAGUUUGAACUGUAAAGACGCCUUCAGACAGAACGCCUCCUUCCCCAGCUCAG